CGGCGGACGGGUGAGUAACACGUGGAUAACCUACCUAUAAGACUGGGAUAACUUCGGGAAACCGGAGCUAAUACCGGAUAAUAUUUUGAACCGCAUGGUUCAAAAGUGAAAGACGGUCUUGCUGUCACUUAUAGAUGGAUCCGCGCUGCAUUAGCUAGUUGGUAAGGUAACGGCUUACCAAGGCAACGAUGCAUAGCCGACCUGAGAGGGUGAUCGGCCACACUGAAACUGAGACACGGUCCAGACUCCUACGGGAGGCAGCAGUAGGGAAUCUUCCGCAAUGGGCGAAAGCCUGACGGAGCAGCGCCGCGUGAGUGAUGAAGGUCUUCGGAUCGUAAAACUCUGUUAUUAGGGAAGAACAUAUGUGUAAGUAACUGUGCACAUCUUGACGGUACCUAAUCAGAAAGCCACGGCUAACUACGUGCCAGCAGCCGCGGUAAUACGUAGGUGGCAAGCGUUAUCCGGAAUUAUUGGGCGUAAAGCGCGCGUAGGCGGUUUUUUAAGUCUGAUGUGAAAGCCCACGGCUCAACCGUGGAGGGUCAUUGGAAACUGGAAAACUUGAGUGCAGAAGAGGAAAGUGGAAUUCCAUGUGUAGCGGUGAAAUGCGCAGAGAUAUGGAGGAACACCAGUGGCGAAGGCGACUUUCUGGUCUGUAACUGACGCUGAUGUGCGAAAGCGUGGGGAUCAAACAGGAUUAG
rnacentral:rRNA from 1 species